rnacentral:tRNA from 1 species
GCCAGCUCAGUCAGUAGAGCAUGUGACUCUUGAUCUCAGCGUUGUGGGUUCAAGCCCCACACUGGGCA